rnacentral:rRNA from 1 species
GACAGAGGGUGCAAACGUUGCUCGGAAUUACUGGGCGUAAAGGGCUCGUAGGCGGCCAACUAAGUCGGAUGUGAAAUCCCCAGGCUCAACCUGGGAACUGCAUCCGAUACUGGAUGGCUUGAAUUCGGGAGAGGGAUGCAGAAUUCCAGGUGUAGCGGUGAAAUGCGUAGAUAUCUGGAGGAAUACCGGUGGCGAAGGCGGCAUCCUGGACCGACAUUGACGCUGAGGAGCGAAAGCUAGGGGAGCAAACGGG